AUUGAACGCUGGCGGCAGGCCUAACACAUGCAAGUCGAACGAGUGGCGGACGGGUGAGUAAUGUCUGGGAAACUGCCUGAUGGAGGGGGAUAACUACUGGAAACGGUAGCUAAUACCGCAUACCAUCAGAUGUGCCCAGAUGGGAUUAGCGAGUUGUUGGGGUAACGGCUCACCAAGGCGACGAUCCCUAGCUGGUCUGAGAGGAUGACCAGCCACACUGGAGCUUAGACACGGUCCAGACUCGUACGGGAGGAGGCAGUGGAGAAUAUUGCACAAGGGGCGCAAGCCGAAUGCAGCAAUGCCGCGUGUAUGAAGAAGGACUUCGGGUUGUAAAGUACUUUCAGCGGGGAGGCGUUACCCGCAGAAGAAGCACCGGCUAACUCCGUGCCAGCAGCCGCGGUAAUUC
rnacentral:rRNA from 1 species